rnacentral:rRNA from 1 species
AUUGAACGCUGGCGGCAGGCCUAACACAUGCAAGUCGAACGGUAACAGGAAGAAGCUUGCUUCUUUGCUGACGAGUGGCGGACGGGUGAGUAAUGUCUGGGAAACUGCCUGAUGGAGGGGGAUAACUACUGGAAACGGUAGCUAAUACCGCAUAACGUCGCAAGACCAAAAAGGGGGACCUUCGGGCCUCUUGCCAUCGGAUGUGCCCAGAUGGGAUUAGCUAGUAGGAGGGGUAACGGCUCACCUAGGCGACGAUCCCUAGCUGGUCUGAGAGGAUGACCAGCCACACUGGAACUGAGACACGGUCCAGACUCCUACGGGAGGCAGCAGUGGGGAAUAUUGCACAAUGGGCGCAAGCCUGAUGCAGCCAUGCCGCGUGUAUGAAGAAGGCCUUCGGGUUGUAAAGUACUUUCAGCGGGGAGGAAGGGAGUAAAGUUAAUACCUUUGCUCAUUGACGUUACCCGCAGAAGAAGCACCGGCUAACUCCGUG